rnacentral:rRNA from 1 species
UACAGAGGGUGCAAGCGUUAAUCGGAAUUACUGGGCGUAAAGCGUGCGUAGACGGUUACAUAAGUCGGGUGUGAAAGCCCCGGGCUCAACCUGGGAAUUGCAUUCGAGACUGCGUAGCUAGGGUGCGGAAGAGGGUAGCGGAAUUUCCGGUGUAGCGGUGAAAUGCGUAGAUAUCGGAAGGAACACCAGUGGCGAAAGCGGCUUCCUGGUCCAGCACCGACGUUCAGGCACGAAAGCGUGGGGAGCAAACAGG